ACGCUGGCGGCACGCCUAACACAUGCAAGUCGAACGAAGUAGCAAUACUUAGUGGCAGACGGGUGAGUAACAUGUAGGUAUCUGCCCUUUGGCCUGGAAUAACACGAGGAAACUUGUGCUAAUACCGGAUAAGUCUUUACGGAGAAAGCUUUAUGCACCAUUGGAUGAGCCUGCACUUGAUUAGUUUGUUGGUGGGGUAAUGGCCUACCAAGACUGUGAUCAAUAGCUGAUUUGAGAGGAUGAUCAGCCACAUUGGGACUGAGACACGGCCCAAACUCCUACGGGAGGCAGCAGUGGGGAAUCUUGCACAAUGGAGGAAACUCUGAUGCAGCGAUGCCGCGUGAGUGAAGAAGGCCUUUGGGUUGUAAAGCUCUUUCGUCGGGGAAGAAAAUGACUGUACCCGAAUAAGAAGGUCCGGCUAACUUCGUGCCAGCAGCCGCGGUAAUACGAAGGGACCUAGCGUAGUUCGGAAUUACUGGGCUUAAAGAGUUCGUAGGUGGUUGAAAAAGUUGGUGGUGAAAUCCCAGAGCUUAACUCUGGAACUGCCAUCAAAACUUUUCAGCUAGAGUUUGAUAGAGGAAAGCAGAAUUUCUAGUGUAGAGGUGAAAUUCGUAGAUAUUAGAAAGAAUACCAAUUGCGAAGGCAGCUUUCUGGAUCAUUACUGACGCUGAGGAACGAAAGCAUGGGUAGCGAAGAGGAUUAGAUACCCUCGUAGUCCAUGCCGUAAACGAUGUGUGUUAGACGUUGGAAAUUUAUUUUCAGUGUCGCAGCGAAAGCAAUAAACACACCGCCUGGGGAGUACGACCGCAAGGUUAAAACUCAAAUGAAUUGACGGGGACCCGCACAAGUAGUGGAGCAUGUGGUUUAAUUCGAAGAUACGCGCAGAACCUUACCAACACUUGACAUGUUCGUCGCGACUUUAAGAGAUUAAAGUUUUCGGUUCGGCCGGACGAAACACAGGUGCUGCAUGGCUGUCGUCAGCUCGUGUCGUGAGAUGUUGGGUUAAGUCCCGCAACGAGCGCAACCCUCACUUUUAGUUGCCAUCAUUAAGUUGGGCACUCUGAAAGAACUGCCAGUGAUAAGCUGGAGGAAGGUGGGGAUGACGUCAAGUCCUCAUGGCCCUUACGUGUUGGGCUACACACGUGCUACAAUGGUAUCUACAACAGGAAGCAAAACGGCGACGUUAAGCAAAUCCCUAAAAGAUACCUCAGUUCGGAUUGCACUCUGCAACUCGAGUGCAUGAAGCUGGAAUUACUAGUAAUCGUGGAUCAGCGUGCCACGGUGAAUGCGUUCCCGGGUCUUGUACUCACCGCCC
rnacentral:rRNA from 1 species